UAAAUUUUUAUUUUUUUUAUGUUUGGAUAUGCGGUUAUUUUUUAUUUCGAUUAAAUUAAAUAAAUAUUUUAUUAAUACGGGUAUUUUGCGUAUAUUUAUAAUUAUUUUGUUUUUUUUUUACGUUGGGGUUCUAUAUAAUUUUAAUUAUUGGUGCAAAUUUUGGUUGCCGUAAUUUUUAUUCGUAUUAGGUUUAUAUUUUGGUUAAUAUAUAUAUUUUAUAUACGUUUCAAAUAUAUUUAUAUUAUAAAAAUUAUUUUUGGUUGCAAUAUAUUAUAAAAUAAUUGUCGUUAAACGUAAAGAUUACGGUUAAUUCGGUAUUAAAUUCCAUUUUAAUUUCCCAAUUUGGUAAAUUAAUUAUAAUAUAUAUUUUGUAAAUAUUUAUUAUUUUACGUUGUCGCGGAAAACAAUUGUGGAUUAUUUUCCUAUUUAAAUAAAAUUUACAAUUAUUUCGGAAAUAUUUUAUCCAAAAAAAUUUUGCGUAUUAAAAAUAUUUAAUAUCCAAAAUUAUAUAAUUUCCAAAAAUUAUAUUAAUUGGUUCUAUAAAAUAUUGGAUUUAUAUUUAAAAUAAUAAUUCGGAAAAUUAUAUUAAUUAAUCGUUUCGGUAUAAAUCGAUAUUUUUUUUCGUAUAUGGAAAAAUUAUUUUUUUUUAUUAUAUUAUAUUAGUUCGAAAAUAUAAUUUUUUUUCGCUGGAUUUUUUUUCCAAAUUUUCGUUUAAUUUUCGUAUUAAAAAUUAAUUAAUUAUUUUAAUAUAAUGGCUUUGUUUUAAAAAAAUUUUAU
rnacentral:sRNA from 1 species